ensembl:misc_RNA Metazoa_SRP Metazoan signal recognition particle RNA
GCCGGGUGCGGUGGUGUGCACCUCAGCUACUCAGAAAGCUGAGGUGACAUCUUUUGCACCCAGGAGUUCUGGGCUGUAGUGCACCCGCAAUGCCAAUCAGGGGCCCACACAAUGUUCAGCAUCAAUACAGUAACCUCCUGGAAGCAGGGGAUCACCAGGUUGCCUCAGAGAGUGGUGAACCAGCCAAGGUUGAAAAUAGAACAGGUCAAAACUCCCAUGUAGAUCAGUCAUGGGAUCGGGCCUAUGAAUAGCCACUGCACUCUAGCCUGGGCAACAUAGCGCGACCCUGUCUUU